CGUCGUGAGACAGUUCGGUCCCUAUCUGCCGUGGGCGCUGGAGAACUGAGGGGGGCUGCUCCUAGUACGAGAGGACCGGAGUGGACGCAUCACUGGUGUUCGGGUUGUCAUGCCAAUGGCACUGCCCGGUAGCUAAAUGCGGAAGAGAUAAGUGCUGAAAGCAUCUAAGCACGAAACUUGCCCCGAGAUGAGUUCUCCCUGAGACUUUAAGUCUCCUGAAGGAACGUUGAAGACGACGACGUUGAUAGGCCGGGUGUGUAAGCGCAGCGAUGCGUUGAGCUAACCGGUACUAAUGAACCGUGAGGCUUAACCUUAC
rnacentral:rRNA from 1 species